UGGGAAGCCGGAGGUAGGGAUCGCCAAUUUCCAUCGCUUCUCACAUCGUCCAUGCUUACUUCGCAGUUCCUGGCGCGAGCCCCUGUCCCUCGCAGCGCCUCCCUCCCGUACCUGUCCUCGGCCACCCGCCCCUCUCUCCCUUAGUUCCUUUGGCUGGUGCACCGUUCUUUGCACCUUGCAGCUGGUUGAACCCUCAUCAAUCAGUCAGAUUCGAAUCUCAUUUCCGCAGGUCUAGGCAGUGGGCACGAAUCCUUUGUGCUUCAGGUGGUAGGAAUUCUCUGCAAAUCGGGUUCUUUGUCGAAGGCUGCCAUCUUCGUGGUGCACUAGAUACAUUGCCCUUCAAUUUGCUUGGGAACAAAUUCAGGUUGUGGGCUAUGACAGUUUCAGGAUUCUAUAUAUGCAUAUCUGUAGAUGGCCUAUGACAAGUAUGUAAAGUUUUUAUUUCUGCCUAUGCUAAUGAAUAUCUCCUUUUCUAGAAGUUUCCAUGAUGAGAUCAAGAAAGUACUAGAGUCUAAUAGGCUUUCUGAAGUACUGGAGUCUAAUAGUCCGUAUCAGGCCUGCAAAUAGUCAAUACAAUACUUCCUGACAUGAUUACAGGCUGCGUUUGGGUUCCCAUUCUAUUUUGCCGUGAUCUGGCUCAUAACAUUUUGCCAUGGUCGUAUGUUGAUGCAAUUCCUGAUCAACGCCUGCAAGCAUCACAGUCCCUUCCUGCAAGCAGGCAAGGCAAAAACUUUGUAGUUUUUGCCAGGCCUUUAGCCUUUACAAACACUAUAUUUCAGGUUUUUGCUAAUUUGCUUAUUAAGAUUAAUUCCUGAAUAUUCAACUGUUUAUGCGAAUCUAUUGACAUUAAUCUUAUUGGUUCUUUUGAAAAAAUGGUCUGUCUUCGAUUUCUGUAAGGAGGUUAGACUAAAAGUUGAGCAAACAAGGUAUUUGUAAUCAAAGUGCAAGAUUCUGGAUUCCUUCAUCUUCAAACACCAUUAAAUUUUAGUAUUUUGUAAACUACCUACAAUCAAGUGGGUAUUGAUGUUCCCCUCUGCUACAUUCCUUCUGUUUGGUUGAAAUAGGAUGUUUGUGCUCCUUUCAUAUGAUCUUUGUACGAUCAUUCUAAGAUGUAAUGUGCUGUGCUGAUUCAAAUGGAUCAAGUUUUAUGCUGGCCUAAUGAUGGCUUGAAAGGUAUUCAUAAUGAUAUUUUCAAAAGAUUUCUAAAAACCCAAUACUUCAUUUGAAACUCUUCAAUAGUCUAUAUGAAGGUUCAUCGUUCUCACCCGCGGGAUCUUAUUGGAGCCUUGGGUGCAUAGCUCUUCUCUUCUAUGUGCCGCUUCUUUAAUGGAAAGGGAUUUUCAUCUCACGUGAUUAGGGUUGCUUAGUCGAUGUGAGGGCAAGCUUGUCUUCAAGAUUAGACUUCUAUACAGGUUAGUGCAUGUAAAACCUCUCUCAAGUUUUACCUUUGGUCCAUGUUUUUGGUUCAAUGAAAACUUUCUGGUUCAUAUUCAGUUAACAUCUGUUUUUGCUCUGUGGAGAAUUGGACAAUUUUACAUCUGAUUUUACUGCACUGUGUUGUCUAUUAAAUAAUUGCCACAUCUAUACUGUAUUGUGUUGUUGCUGUUAUUACAAUUUAUUGAUUGGUGCCUAUAUCUGCUAAACCUUCUUCAAGAUGCAUAUUCAAGUGCACAAAAAACGCUACUAUUGUUCUCUUUAGACAGUCAAGUCAUCAAAAAAAAAAAAAUCCCGUUGGCGUGGUGCAUAUGUCAACUUGCAAUAGCUACCUUUAAAAGCAUGCUUAAUUGCUCUUACUGUAUGCCAGCCUA